AUUUAUUUAAGUCAGUUUCUUUUCAAUUUGCAAUUGAUGGGGCCAGAAUCCUGUAAACUGGCCAGUAAACAAAUACGUACCAUUGAUCUGCCUGCUUUAGGGUGACACACAUUUAUACACACUUUACUGAAAACACUGCACUGAAAACAACUACCAUGGAUGCCUCCUGACCCUACAGGACUGCACAGUAUGGAAUGGGUAGGUAGGUGUAGGUACCCCAUUCAUAGAUGCUAACUGCUUUAGAGCUUACUGAUGAUAGUAUCUUCUGACUGGAAGAGUUUUGUUAAGAGCACCGACGCUUGCUUCUAAAUAUGAAAACGCAUAGCUGGAGGUACGAUUUUGGAAACAUAAGGAAAAGUACGUGUGUAUUUUGCAUUUGUGAAGUUUUGAUUGUUUAACGUGAUAUAAAAGUAGAGGGAUUUAUGUUUCUCGAACCAUACCGCAAUUGAGAAUGAAUUCACAUUCAGAUGUAGUAUUUGGCUGUUUUGGCUUUCAGAGACAAUUUGCCUUUAAACUGAACGUGUAAGGUCCUUGGAUAAGGAGUAACGUUAGGCUCCUUUCAUCUAUUAAUGGGGCUAGGGUGCAGGUAAUUGGGUAGGGAAAGAAUAAAAAAUUUAAAAAAAUAAAAGAUGGUUCUGCAAUAAAAAUCCAAUAAAUUCAAUAAUGUUGAAAAUCUGGAUGUGUGAAGACAAACUAUUGUUAGAUAGGGAAUUAUUUAAGAAAAGUGAAAGGGUAGCUAAUGAGUCUGAGAAAAAGUAAAUUGUGGUGACAGAGAGCAACCUUUGGUUAAAUCUAGUCCAUAUAUAGUAAUGGUUGCUAUCUGCCAAUGAUGGGCCAUGUACACACAAACAGAAGCAGGAAGAGAGUUUAAGACAGUGAUGUGUGAAUAUUAAGGAAGUAGUCAUUUUGUUUGGUUUCUUGUUCCUUGACACACACACAUAUAUUUGUGCAUAGAUCCACAGUCAUAUACCCAGACUCAAACCCUCACAUGGCUCCUCAUCUCUCCGUUUUCAUCCCCCUCAUCAUAAUUUUUUCCAGACUAUCAGUAAUGUCAAUGCCAUCCACCGAAGACUCGUACUUAACAUCAGCGUACAGCAUGUAUAGAUCUGAAGACGUCAGUAGAUUACUCUACAGAUUGGAGCGAACCGUCUUCUACCUGGUGAAAAUUGUUAAUGCAAUGUUCUUCCUCCUGUGCACCAUCAUUGCUGUGUUUAAUUUCAAGGUUAACAAAAUUCGAGGUAAAAUUCCGGUCUCUUUGGUGAGAACAGAUGUGUGA
rnacentral:lncRNA from 1 species